UGCCUCCAGAUCCAAUAUUGAAGGUACAUCCUGCCCAGUGAUCUAAUCUCAACGGCCGCGGUAUCCUGACCGUGCGAAGGUAGCAUAAUCAUUUGCCUCUUAAUUAGUGGCUAGAAUGAACGGACAAACGAGGUUAUUACUGUCUCCUUUAUAUCCAAAUAAAUUAGUCUUCAGGUGAAGAAACCUGAAUCCAAAUAAAAGACAAGAAGACCCUGUCGAGUUUCACUCUAAUCUAAUUCAUACAAUUAACACCAAUAGAUAAAGUUUGGUUGGGGCGACCAAGGAAUACAAAAAUCUUCCUAACGCUAAAGAAUUAUACCUCAUUCAAACUUGACCCUAAUCCUAGAUCAAUAAAAUAAACUACCGCAGGGAUAACAGGCUUAUCUUUCUAAAGAGCCCAAAUCGAUAGAAAGGUUUGGCACCUCGAUGUUGGCUUAGAGUACCCAAACGAUGCAGCCGUCGUUUACGGUUAGUUUGUUCAACUAUUAAAACUCU
rnacentral:rRNA from 1 species